UGCACAGCACCAGAGGUAUGGGAGUGACCUAACUGGCACUGGACACAGCUACUCUUCUGGAUUAAGAGGCAAGCUGCAGAAAGCAAGAAUAUCAUUCUUGAGGACACCACUACCAAACAUGAUGUCCUUGGGGACUGGAAGGAGGUGCUCAACCUUCAGGGGACAAACUCCCAGCUUUAAAAGGGAAGGGGGAGCUGCUACUUGGAAGCAUGUCAACUAUGAUGAAUAUAUCAGGACUGUGUGAGCCUACAGGUAUACAGUCACUCUGCAGAGGCCAAAUUACUGUAGUAGUGGUCUGUCUGUAUUCUGCAGAUACUGUUCUGCUAUUGACUGGACAAAGACUAUAGAAGAGCCAACAUAAGGAAAAAAGAAGAAGUGACAGCUAAUGAGAAUCUGGGCAACCCUGCAUCUGGCGUACAGCCUGCAAUUCAGCACAAGAGGCAACC